GCGGGAACGCCCACAGCGGCGCAAAAAAGCUACGCCACGGAAAAAGAAGGCGUAGCCCAUAGGCGUCCAUGGAACGGCGAAAAAUCAGCCCCCUCUCUGAGCGCCUCGCCCCGCCCCUAUGGCCCGAAGGAGCAUAGGAUGAGAACUAUCCCGGGGACCAAUCAGCGUGCGCGCCCGGCAUGGACGAGCCCCCCUCUCUGCACCCAAUCACCUGCGACCGCGUCCUACAAAACAUCCGGCCAGCACCGCCCAAACCCCCAGGUGCCCUGACUCUUGCGCUCCCACCUGGUGAUGACCGACAGAGCGCUGACAGGCACGUCCAGGGCAUGGCUGCUCCCCCGCGCCCCGCCCUCCCCAAACAUCUCUGACGGACGGUUGGCUGCAGCCCAGGAAGCACCGUCGCGCCGCGGCCUGCAUCCCAGCCCCGCCCCUCCGAGCGGGAAGGAGGGCUGUGUGGAAUGCUCCGGCUCCCUCGCCAGCCUAAACGCAAGCCCGCUCUUUCCAGUGCAA